AGGUUUUUGGUGAUCAACGGGACAAUCUCCAGACGGACCCACAAAUUCAAAUCUGCUAGUGGUUCCUCUGAGAUCACACAGGCUAAUUUGAUCAAGCAGGAAGACACACUCUUUACAGAGUCAUGAGUUAAAUUUGAGGAAAGACAGGGACCGGGCACCCAGCUAUGGACAUGACCAUGACCAUGAAACCAUGGAGUGGUAUCAGGGCUGCACACUCAAAAGAAGCCUGUUGUAUACACGACAAAUAACAACAUGAAACAACUUGCCAAUCUUGAGGCCUGCACCUGUGGAAAUACAAGAUUAUUUAUGUUUUCUGUUUGUUUUACUAACUGCACUGGGAUACCAACACUCUUUCUGAGAGAAGCAGUUGAAAUAUUAAAUAGUUAACAAAUGUGCUAUGGAGU